rnacentral:rRNA from 1 species
UCAGGAGGAACACCGAUGGCGAAGGCAGGUCUCUGGGCCAAUACUGACACUGAGGAGCGAAAGCGUGGGGAGCGAACAGGAUUAGAUACCCUGGUAGUCCACGCCGUAAACGGUGGGCGCUAGUUGUGCGAACCUUCCACGGUUUGUGCGACGCAGCUAACGCAUUAAGCGCCCCGCCUGGGGAGUACGAUCGCAAGAUUAAAACUCAAAGGAAUUGACGGGGCCCCGCACAAGCAGCGGAGCAUGCGGCUUAAUUCGACGCAACGCGAAGAACCUUACCAAGGCUUGACAUAUACAGGAAUAUGGCAGAGAUGUCAUAGCCGCAAGGUCUGUAUACAGGUGGUGCAUGGUUGUCGUCAGCUCGUGUCGUGAGAUGUUGGGUUAAGUCCCGCAACGAGCGCAACCCUCGUUCUGUGUUGCCAGCAUUAAGUUGGGGACUCACAGGAGACUGCCGGGGUUAACUCGGAGGAAGGUGGGGAUGACGUCAAAUCAUCAUGCCCCUUAUGUCUUGGGCUGCACGCAUGCUACAAUGGCUGGUACAAACGGCUGCGAUACCGCAAGGUGGAGCGAAUCCGAUAAAGCCAGUCUCAGUUCGGAUUGGGGUCUGCAACUCGACCCCAUGAAGUCGGAGUUGCUAGUAAUCGUAGAUCAGCAACGCUACGGUGAAUACGUUCCCGGGGCUUGUACACACCGCCCGUCACAUCACGAAAGUCGGUAACACCCAAAGUCAGUGGCCCAACCGUAAGGAGGGAGCUGCCAAAGGUGGGAUCGGUGAUUGGGAUGAAGUCGUAACAAGGCU